UUUAUAUAAAAUAUUUUAGAUAAUUUUUGUUAUUUUUUUUUUUUUGCAAAUAAUAAUAACAAUAAUUUAUUUCUUAGUAGAUAUGUAUAAGAAUCGUAUUAUUUUCUGUAUUAAUAAGUGCAACGAUUCGUGAAAGACGUAAUGGAUAAAAAGGUCUUGGGUAAUAAUCCUGGGAGAGAAUGCUAUAAAUGCGAUUUGGAGCAGGAAAACGAUAGACAUGAGCGAUGGUUUGUGUGAGAACAUUCAUACGAAUUGGUAUUACUAUUGUAUAGAAUAAUGAUAGAUAAUGCAUCCGUUGUUAUUCGGGUCUUAAUAAACGUGAAGGACAAACCGGAUUGAUAAUUGCUUAAAGAGAUUCUUAUUCCCUUUCUAAUUGUAAGAAAAGAAUGACAUAAAAUAAAUGUUAGAAUGAUAUAAAAGAAAAGAAAAUAGUUAUGUGAGAUUUCACCAUCAAAUGAUUAAUGUAACAUUAAAUAUAUUCGAAAUGACGCAAUCCUAUUUAAAAAAAAAAAUAUGCCGAGGUGAGACUGUCAACAUUUUUGAUGUAUAGAAGUGAGAUUUGGAUAUGAUGAACUGUGCAUGACUCUCGCACAGAUGUGCUAUCUGGGAAUUGAUUGAUUGAUGCGAAUGUAAGGAAUGAUGAUAUAUUGAAACGUGCCAUGUUAAACAGUAUGUGAUUUAAGAUUGGCACCUGUAUGUGCUAAACUGGUUUAGACAGGUCAGAACUCACAAUGGACAAUUAUGAUAAUGUGUAAAGGUAGAUAGAAGUCGAGAAAAAUCAUGACCUUAGAAAGGAUCUCUCUCGAUGUUUUUCUACUAAAGGAUAAACUUCGGUGCGAAAAGGAAAAUAAAACGAAAAAUUGAAAUAUUGAAUUUGAAUAAUUUAAAGGAGUUUUAUAUAAUAGUAAAAUGCGCCAGAGAAAACUUGUGUGUGAUGUACGGGAUUAUUUUAUGUAACAUGUGUUAGUCAUAAAAUAUUUACAUAACUGUAUUAUUACGAUAUUUAUGAAGAAGAGACAUUCAUUUUUUAUAACACGUAAACCAACUAAUUUGCAAUAUUUGCAUACAAAUAUGCGAUCCAUACAGGAAAAUGCCAAACGAGGAAAGAAAAACAUACAAAAAUUGUAUCGGACUUUUUCUAUAUUUAGAAAAUUUAAUUGUCGUGCAUUUUUUAAUUAAAAAUAACAACAAUUUUCUAGAAUUGAAACAAAUUUAUUUAAUAAUAUGCUAUUUAUAGAAUCAGCAAUAAUGCACACACGAUUCGAUGAUUUUCGGCAUUCGGUGAUGCAUACGAAAUGUAUUAUUAUUAUUAUUAUUACCAGUUAUCUUUUAUGUAUUUAUAGAAUUUUAUUGAACUUGAUUUCCAUUAAAAAACUAUUAAAUUUUAGUAUAUUUUACUCAAAUGUCAAAAAUUGGAUAGAUAUCAAAUUACAUUUUUGAGUUAAAAAAAAAAAACGC
rnacentral:lncRNA from 1 species